rnacentral:rRNA from 1 species
CUUGGUCAUUUAGAGGAAGUAAAAGUCGUAACAAGGUUUCCGUAGGUGAACCUGCGGAAGGAUCAUUACAGAGUUCAUGCCCUUCGGGGUAGACCUCCCACCCUUGAGUACUAUACUUUUGUUGCUUUGGCAGGCCGUCAGGUUUACGCCUGGCUACCGGCUCCGGCUGGUAAGUGUCUGCCAGAGGACCUAAACUCUGAAUUUUAUGUCGUCUGAGUACUAUAUAAUAGUUAAAACUUUCAACAACGGAUCUCUUGGUUCUGGCAUCGAUGAAGAACGCAGCGAAAUGCGAUAAGUAAUGUGAAUUGCAGAAUUCAGUGAAUCAUCGAAUCUUUGAACGCACAUUGCGCCCCUUGGUAUUCCGAGGGGCAUGCCCGUUCGAGCGUCAUCAACACCAUCAAGCCUGGCUUGGUAUUGGGCCUUGCCUGUAACACGGCCGGCUUUAAAAUCAGUGGCGGUGCCGCCUGGCUCUAAGCGUAGUAACUUUUCUCGCUAUUGUGCCCGGCGGUUGCUUGCCAACAACCCCUAAUUUAAUAGAUUUGACCUCGGAUCGGGUAGGGAUACCCGCUGAACUUAAGCAUAUCAAUAAGCGGAGGA